GCUCAGGUGCGAAAGCGUGGGGAGCAAACAGGAUUAGAUACCNUGGUAGUCCACGCCGUAAACGAUGUCGAUUUGGAGGUUGUGCCCUUGAGGCGUGGCUUCCGGAGCUAACGCGUUAAAUCGACCGCCUGGGGAGUACGGCCGCAAGGUUAAAACUCAAAUGAAUUGACGGGGGCCCGCACAAGCGGUGGAGCAUGUGGUUUAAUUCGAUGCAACGCGAAGAACCUUACCUGGUCUUGACAUCCACAGAACUUAGCAGAGAUGCUUUGGUGCCUUCGGGAACUGUGAGACAGGUGCUGCAUGGCUGUCGUCAGCUCGUGUUGUGAAAUGUUGGGUUAAGUCCCGCAACGAGCGCAACCCUUAUCCUUUGUUGCCAGCGGUUAGGCCGGGAACUCAAAGGAGACUGCCAGUGAUAAACUGGAGGAAGGUGGGGAUGACGUCAAGUCAUCAUGGCCCUUACGACCAGGGCUACACACGUGCUACAAUGGCAUAUACAAAGAGAAGCGACCUCGCGAGAGCAAGCGGACCUCAUAAAGUAUGUCGUAGUCCGGAUUGGAGUCUGCAACUCGACUCCAUGAAGUCGGAAUCGCUAGUAAUCGUAGAUCAGAAUGCUACGGUGAAUACGUUCCCGGGCCUUGUACACACCGCCCGUCACACCAUGGGAGUGGGUUGCAAAAGAAGUAGGUAGCUUAACCUUCGGGAGGGCGCUUACCACUUUGUGAUUCAUGACUGGGGUGAAGUCGUAACAAGGUAACCG
rnacentral:rRNA from 1 species